AUACGUAGGGUGCAAGCGUUAAUCGGAAUUACUGGGCGUAAAGCGUGCGCAGGCGGGUUUGUAAGAAAGUGGUGAAAUCCCCGGGCUCAACCUGGGGACUGCCAUUGUGACUGCAAGGCUGGUGUGCGGCCGAGGGGGAUGGAAUUGCGCGUGUAGCAGUGAAAUGCGUAGAUAUGCGGAGGAACACCGAUGGCGAAGGCAAUCCCCUGGGCCUGCACUGACGCUCAUGCACGAAAGCGUGGGGAGCAAACAGGAUUAGAUACCCUGGUAGUCCACGCCCUAAACGAUGUCAACUGGUUGUUGGGGAUUUAUUUUCUCAGUAACGAAGCUAACGCGUGAAGUUGACCGCCUGGGGAGUACGGCCGCAAGGUUAAAACUCAAAGGAAUUGACGGGG
rnacentral:rRNA from 1 species